rnacentral:rRNA from 1 species
GACGAACGCUGGCGGCGUGCUUAACACAUGCAAGUCGAACGGAAAGGCCCUGCGUUGUUCGGGUGUGCGGAUCGCGAAAGGGACACUAACACGUGCGUAACCUGCCCUUGACAUUGGGCUGACUUACGGGAACUGAGGCCAAUAACGGCCACGAGCUCCAGCUGCUUGGGGGGGGUUGGUAAGUUUUGUCGGAUGGGGCUGGGCUCGAGGCUCAUCAGCUUGUUGGAGGGGUAGAGGCUUGCCAAGGCUUUGAUGGGUAGCCGGCCUGAGAGGGUGACCGGCCACAAUGGGACUGAGAUACGGCCCAGACUCCUACGGGCGGCAGCAGUGGGGAAUAUUGCACAAUGGGCGGAAGCCUGAUGCAGCGACGCCGCGUGCGGGAUGACGGCCUUCGGGUUGUAAACCUCUUUCGAUUGUGACGAAGCGUAAGUGACGGUAAUUGGAAAAGAAGCACCGGCUAACUACGUG